rnacentral:rRNA from 1 species
UCCGUAGGUGAACCUGCGGAAGGAUCAUUAAUGAAUUCGGGGGCUCGACUCUGAAAUAUUGAGAUCGGGCCCAUUUCUUAAUCCACUUCACACUUGUGCACAUUUUUCCUACUUUCCUUCGGGAGAGUUUGAAAAGCUCUUGUGAUUUUAAUCAAGUCCAGGAUGUGAAUCCAAUUUGAAUAAGUUGUAAAACAACUACAAACGGUGGAUCUCUUGGGUCUCGUAUCGAUGAAGAACGCAGCGAAACGCGAAAUGUAAUGUGAAUUGCAGAAUUCAGUGAAUCAUCGAAUCUUUGAACGCAUCUUGCACUCUCGAAUCACUAUCGAGAGUAUGCCUGUUUGAGUGUCGCGAAACUCUCAACCCCGCCUCAUGCUUUAUUGCGUGUGGGUAGCUUGGGGUUGGAUCAUGAUCUUUGCAGUAAUGCGCUAGCAGAACUGCUGGAUUGAAAUACAACAAGCUGAAUCUAUAUACUUGCGGGUUGACCUGUCGUUGUAAGCACACAAAUGCAUUCGAUGGGGACGCGAGAAAAUGGAAUGAGCUUUCCAAAUGUGUUACACUUUGCAGCUUCUAUUAACUUAGAGCUCUUAGUGCAUUCUGACCUCAAAUCAGGUAGGAUUACCCGCUGAACUUAAGCAUAUCAAUAAGCGGAGGAAAAG